GGAUUGUGGCUCAGUGAUAGAGUGCUUGUCUAGCACAGGCGAGGCCCUGGGUUCGAUCCCCAACACCA
rnacentral:tRNA from 1 species